rnacentral:rRNA from 1 species
UACGUAGGGUGCAAGCGUUAAUCGGAAUUACUGGGCGUAAAGCGUGCGUAGUCGGUUAUCUAAGUCGGGUGUGAAAUCCCCGGGCUCAACCUGGGAAUUGCAUUCGAUACUGGAUAGCUAGAGUUCGGCAGAGGGAAGCGGAAUUUCGGGUGUAGCGGUGAAAUGCGUAGAUAUCCGAAGGAACAUCAGUGGCGAAAGCCGCUUCCUGGACCAGAACUGACGAUCAGGCACGAAAGCGUGGGGAGCAAACAGG